AUUGAACGCUGGCGGAAUGCUUUACACAUGCAAGUCGAAUGGUAACAGGUCUUCGGAUGCUGACGAGUGGCGAACGGGUGAGUAAUAUAUCGGAACGUGCCCAGUCGUGGGGGAUAACGUAGCGAAAGUUACGCUAAUACCGCAUACGAUCUAUGGAUGAAAGCGGGGGAUCGCAAGACCUCGCGCGAUUGGAGCGGCCAAUAUCAGAUUAGGUAGUUGGUGGGGUAAAGGCUCACCAAGCCAACGAUCUGUAGCUGGUCUGAGAGGACGACCAGCCACACUGGAACUGAGACACGGUCCAGACUCCUACGGGAGGCAGCAGUGGGGAAUUUUGGACAAUGGACGCAAGUCUGAUCCAGCCAUUCCGCGUGCAGGAUGAAGGCCCUCGGGUUGUAAACUGCUUUUGUACGGAACGAAAAGGUCUCUCCUAAUACGAGGGGCUCAUGACGGUACCGUAAGAAUAAGCACCGGAUAACUACGUGCCAGCAGCCGCAGUAACAC
rnacentral:rRNA from 1 species